rnacentral:lncRNA from 1 species
CGGAAUCCGUUGUAGAAAGUGGAGCAGAGCUGCAACUAUUACUGCGGCUUGUCAGGGAGUGAUGGAGCUGCACGAAAUCCACAGCAGAAAGUGGAGCAGGAUCGUGGCCGUUAAAAUAGCCUGUCAGGGAGUGCAGAUCCAUCGGCUGAAGCUCGGAAGUGGUCGGAGCUGAUGACGGAGUUCGGCUCCCGUAGGAGUCCGGGCGGAGUCCUCUGCAACUAAAGUCAGGUGGAAAGUUCGGCUCCCGUGGGAGUCCGGACGGAUCUUACCGGCAA